rnacentral:rRNA from 1 species
UACAGAGGGCGCGAGCGUUGUCCGGAAUCACUGGGCGUAAAGGGCGCGUAGGCGGCCUGGCAAGUGGAAGGUGAAAUCCCUCGGCUUAACCGAGGAACUGCCCUCCAAACUGCUUGGCUUGAGUCCGGGAGAGGUGAGUGGAAUUCCCAGUGUAGCGGUGAAAUGCGUAGAUAUUGGGAGGAACACCAGUGGCGAAGGCGGCUCACUGGACCGGAACUGACGCUGAGGCGCGAAAGCGUGGGGAGCAAACGGG